UAAUGUUGGGGCACGACUUGAGAAUGUCUCUACAGAUGCUAUGAAACAAUGAUGCGGGCUCUAGAACCACAUAAGAAAACAUAAGCCAUCGUACAAGUGAAUUUGAUGAUUGUGAACUAGCUUGCCAAGAGAUCUGCGUUCAUUGAUAUCGCGUCGUCAUCCAUGACUUUAAAUGCAAACUUUCUCUACAAGGGUUCUCCAAGUAGUGCUGGAAAUCG
rnacentral:lncRNA from 1 species